AUUGAACGCUGGCGGCAUGCUUUACACAUGCAAGUCGAACGGUAACAGGCCGCAAGGUGCUGACGAGUGGCGAACGGGUGAGUAAUGCAUCGGAACGUGCCCAGUCGUGGGGGAUAACUACUCGAAAGAGUAGCUAAUACUGCAUACGAUCUAUGGAUGAAAGCGGGGGACCGUAAGGCCUCGCGCGAUUGGAGCGGCCGAUGUCAGAUUAGGUAGUUGGUGGGGUAAAGGCUCACCAAGCCAACGAUCUGUAGCUGGUCUGAGAGGACGACCAGCCACACUGGGACUGAGACACGGCCCAGACUCCUACGGGAGGCAGCAGUGGGGAAUUUUGGACAAUGGGCGCAAGCCUGAUCCAGCAAUGCCGCGUGCAGGAAGAAGGCCUUCGGGUUGUAAACUGCUUUUGUACGGAACGAAACGGCUCUGGUUAAUACCCGGGGCUAAUGACGGUACCGCAAGAAUAAGCACCGGCUAACUACGUG
rnacentral:rRNA from 1 species